UUUUUGCAAUGAAAAAUAAAAUACAUAAUCUAGAUAUAGUUCGAUGCAGCAGUCGUGCUUACGAUCUAGCCCCAAAUUUUAAUCUUCUUACAAUGUAUAUAAGUUUAUCGUUGCUUUUUGGUUAGUUAAUGUCUAAUUAUACAUAUCUGUAUUAGGUUAGCAUAUAAUUAAAUAAUUGUCAAAACUAUAUACUGAAAAUUAAAAGAACUGAAAAUGAAACUUAAAAAAUCAGAAGUGGGAAAGUUACAACAAAAAAAAAAAUCCGAAGUGGG
rnacentral:lncRNA from 1 species